UUUAUAUAAUUUUAAAGAAUACAGAAUAUUAUUAAGCUUCAGAUCUGUCUCUCUGCCUGUUUUCUUGCAUUAUCUCCAUGCAUGACUGUUUGUUUUUGGUCCUGUGUGUGUACAUGUCCUCUACUGCCUGCUAGCACCAGUGCUGGCUGUGUCUUGGUGUGACAUGUGGCGGCUGACACAGAGAAAGCAGCUUACAGCUCCUGGUCCCUGCUUGGUCCUGGCUGGACCGGGCGGCGAGCGUCCUGGGGGCCUCCCGGACUGCCACCAACAGGGCUUUAUCAGCCCUGAGGAUUAAUGCGAUUUCAUCAGGGUCCACAGGCCUGCCUGCAGACACACACACACCCGCAGGCAUGCAAACAUGCUCAGAGAAAGUGCAAGUAGUUGGGGAACAGAGAACGAGACAUUCAACUACAACGUUAUAGCCAACGGCUGUAUAUUAACCUGUUAAACUGAGCAUGCUAACAUGCGCACAAUGCAGGGGCAGAGCUAGACUCUCAGCAGAGAGGGGGAGGAGCAUUCUCAAGGGGCCCUUCUGAUACAGUCAUUAUAAAAUUCACUGUAUUCAACAUUCAACUGUAAAAUAGCUGAUAUAUCUGAUCCUAUCCUAACCAUAAACACAAAUUGUCACUUAUUGAGCCAAGAAAACAUACAGUGAAGUCACUUUGUUUCAGCAUCGAAGAAAGCACGCGGCGCUCUACAUGCAUCGAUUAACGGUUCAGGCUUAGAAGCCAGGUGCACUGUCUCAGUACCAUGUCUUUCUUACAUGGGAAUAACUUUAUGUUAUGUUUAACAGUCUACAACACUAUACAAAGCCUACUUAAAUAUAAACCAUAUAGAGGACAAAACAAUUCGACAAAAAAGACGAACAAUAAAUGAAAAGUCUAUGGACACGCAUUAUUAGGCUACAGAAAUGAAAUAACCUGCCACUAAACAUUAUAAACUCCAUAGCCAGUGCAGCCACAAACACACAUAUUAUACAUAUAUAUUUGCACUCUACCGACUUUGUAUUGCAACUGCUGCACAACAAUUUCCCUUGGGAUAAAAAAGUUCUAUCUUGUCUUACCUAAUGUUAAAGCAAAGGACAGACUUAGAGAGACAGUUUUUACACAACGCAUAUAGCAUGCACACACUACAAUGCUAGGCAAUGCAGUGGCUGCACAUAUGGAAAGUGAGUUACAAUUAUUAAGAGUUUGUCAUUGUACUCACCUGUCUGAACGGCAUUCUGCAAGCUUUAUGCACUGCAAAGUCCUCAACAAUCUGCUCUAGGUUCAACUUCUUUACUCGUUUAUGCUCAAAGCUUAAUAUAACCAGUCCACUCAGCCUCUUUAAAAGGAUAACCUUUUAACGGCCUUCAACACAUUAUAAAGCCUAGUCAAACUAAAAUAGUCCAUUUGUGUAUUCCACCAUCCUCCAUAGAACAAAAUAAUCCGAACAGGUUAACGAACUUUGUAGCUACAUAUCCUAAUCUCUUUCAUGGUGGCAAACCUGCCAACCACUUUGUCUUUGCCAAUGUUUAUGUCCCGCACAACACACGGCAUUUUAGUGCUUAGCUACAUUUAAAAAACAGAAACAGCAAACGGGAACGGAUCAAAACGAGGCUUCAAACUGAAACAUUGUAGUGACGGCCCACAUUUCCCAUCAUGCCUUGUGCUGGACUGAGUAGUUUAAGUUAGCUUUUUAUGUGCCAAAAUGCAAAUGUUACUUUUUCUUAGUGUUUGUAAUGUCUCUGUUCAUAACAUUGUGGUUUAUGUUGGUAGUUGUCAUUUUUGUGCUGGUUCAUAUUUUUAACCAUUAGUGAGGUGGCUGUUACAUUUCUUGACCACAGCUGUAUUUUAACAUUGUGUUAAGAGUUCUUGUCAUGUGUGGACUGUCAUUAAAGGAAAAAUGUACUUGAGAACUA